AUGUGUUGGAAACAGAGAACAAAGCAUGGCCACGGAUCUGCAAAUGGGCAUCUUCUCAUCUGGAUCCUGAGUGUUCUCUUGGCUGGGAGUACAUGGGAACCAAGCAGUCUGGGAAAGGUCCUUUGGCACAGCGUGAAGACCUCCAGGGCCCUGCUCCAAAGCCCAUAUGAAAGAUGGGAAUUCUCCCAUUGAUUUUUGCUUUGGCUCCAGAACAGACAUCUUGAGAGCAACACAGAUGUUGAUGCACGUGUGAUUUUAUCCUUUCAGGCCCUGACCUUAUAAGUAUGCUCCUGCACAGGCAGUGAAUUCCCCAGCUUUACUGCAUGGACAUUGCUAGAAAAGACCUAAAGACCUUUUUUUUUAAUAUAUUUAUUUUGAUCAUG